CGCUGAACUUAAGCAUAUCAAUAAGCGGAGGAAAAGAAACUAACAAGGAUUCCCCUAGUAACGGCGAGUGAAGCGGGAAGAGCUCAAAUUUAAAAUCUGGCAAUCUUUGGUUGUCCGAGUUGUAAUCUAGAGAAGCGUUUUCCGUGCUGGACUGUGUACAAGUUUCCUGGAUACGGAACAUCAUAGAGGGUGAGAAUCCCGUCCUUGACACAGACUCCCAGUGCUUUUGUGAUGCGCUCUCGACGAGUCGAGUUGUUUGGGAUUGCAGCUCAAAAUGGGAGGUAAAUUCCUUCUAAAGCUAAAUAUUGGCGAGAGACCGAUAGCGAACAAGUACCGUGAGGGAAAGAUGAAAAGCACUUUGGAAAGAGAGUUAAACAGUACGUGAAAUUGUUAAAAGGGAAACGCUUGAAGUCAGUCGCGUUUGCUUGGACUCAGCCUAACUUCGGUUCGGUGCAAUUCCUUGCAGACGGGCCAGCGUCCAUGUUGUUUGCCGGAAAAGGGGUGAGAGAAUGUGGCUCCUUUGGGAGUGUUAUAGCUUUCAUUCGUAUGCGGUGAACAAUAUGGAGUGGUACAGCACACUUCGGUGGUGCUUGUGCUGGCAUAAUGGCUUUAAACGACCCGUCUUGAAACACGGA
rnacentral:rRNA from 1 species